AAAUUUAUCAAGGAGAAGAACUUCCACAUCCAAAGUCCAUGCUUCAGGCAACAGCUGAAGCUAAUAAUCUUGCUGCAGUUGCAGGAGCAAGAGAUACCUAUUGUAAAAGUAUGGAACAGGUAUGUGGAGGGGACAAGCCUUACAUUGCACCUUCAGAUCUGGAGCGAAAACACUUGGAUCUCAAGGAAGUGGCGAUAAAACAAUUUCGUUCAGUAAAAAAGAUGGGUGGAGAUGAGUUCUGCCGUCGUUAUCAGGACCAGCUUGAAGCUGAAAUUGAAGAAACCUAUGCAAAUUUUAUAAAGCACAAUGAUGGCAAAAAUAUCUUCUAUGCUGCUCGUACCCCAGCCACACUGUUUGCGGUCAUGUUUGCUAUGUAUAUAAUCUCAGGACUGACUGGCUUCAUUGGCCUAAACUCUAUAGCCGUCUUGUGUAACCUUGUCAUGGGGUUAGCACUGACAUUUCUUUGUACUUGGGCAUAUGUUAAAUACUCUGGGGAGUUCAGAGAAAUUGGAACAAUGAUUGAUCAGAUUGCUGAAACACUAUGGGAACAGGUUGGUAUCUAUCUUUUGGUUUUUUAGUGACUAAUCUUAUUUUCCUGUGACUUUCCAUCCUUUGCAGUAUUUGUACUCGGACUUUGCCUUCACGUGAGGAAUGUCAAAAGGAUGUCUUCUGUUUUGUUCAGAUGUAGGAUCUUUAUGAAUUGAAUAUUUUUUCUUUAAAGUUAUAAUUUUAAUGUACUUUGGUUAGCCUAAAUCUGUACUAUC
rnacentral:sRNA from 1 species